GGGGAAUAUUGGACAAUGGGGGAAACCCUGAUCCAGCAAUGCCGCGUGAGUGAAGAAGGCCUUAGGGUUGUAAAGCUCUUUCGGCGGGGAAGAUGAUGACGGUACCCGCAGAAGAAGCCCCGGCUAACUCCGUGCCAGCAGCCGCGGUAAUACGGAGGGGGCUAGCGUUGUUCGGAAUUACUGGGCGUAAAGCGCACGUAGGUGGCGCAUCAAGUCAGGGGUGAAAGGCCUGGGCUCAACCUGGGAACUGCCUUUGAGACUGAUGUGCUCGAGUCCGGGAGAGGGCAGUGGAAUUCCCAGUGUAGAGGUGAAAUUCGUAGAUAUUGGGAAGAACACCAGUGGCGAAGGCGGCUGCCUGGCCCGGCACUGACACUGAGGUGCGAAAGCGUGGGGAGCAAAC
rnacentral:rRNA from 1 species